UACGAAGGGGGCUAGCGUUGCUCGGAAUCACUGGGCGUAAAGGGUGCGUAGGCGGGUCUUUAAAUCAGGGGUGAAAUCCUGGAGCUCAACUCCAGAACUGCCUUUGAUACUGAGGAUCUUGAGUUCGGGAGAGGUGAGUGGAACUGCGAGUGUAGAGGUGAAAUUCGUAGAUAUUCGCAAGAACACCAGUGGCGAAGGCGGCUCACUGGCCCGAUACUGACGCUGAGGCACGAAAGCGUGGGGAGCAAACAGG
rnacentral:rRNA from 1 species